CGGCUUAAUUUGACUCAACAUGGGGUAACUUACCAGGUCCAGACAUAGUAAGGAUUGACAGACUGAGAGCUCUUUCUAUUUUUUUUGUAUCGGUAAAUGAAAAUAUAUUGAUAAAAAAUGUACCAUGUACAAGUACACCGGGCAUACCCG
rnacentral:rRNA from 1 species